UACGGAGGGUGCGAGCGUUAUCCGGAAUUAUUGGGCGUAAAGAGCUCGUAGGCGGUCUGUCGCGUCUGCUGUGAAAACUCGGGGCUUAACCCCGGGCCUGCAGUGGGUACGGGCAGACUAGAGUGCGGUAGGGGAGACUGGAAUUCCUGGUGUAGCGGUGAAAUGCGCAGAUAUCAGGAGGAACACCGGUGGCGAAGGCGGGUCUCUGGGCCGUAACUGACGCUGAGGAGCGAAAGCAUGGGGAGCGAACAGG
rnacentral:rRNA from 1 species